UUCUUUUUUGCUUGCAAGUAAUUGUCUUGACCCCUACCCCCUAUGGAUUUUCCCAUCUGUUUUUCUUCGUAAAAUUGAGCAUGUAUCUUGUGUAGUGAUGGAUAAUGAAAAUUUAGAAUGACAAGUUUUUUGGGGGAUAAUUUAGUUGUUCCUCCAUUCUUGCUGCUUUCAUGGGAAUUUGGUAUCCGUAUGUGAGGAAGUUGUGUUUGUAGGUGAUUUGAAUCGUCAAGAGCUGGAAAUGAAGAGGAAGAGGAGAACUCCAAGUGAUUGAAACAUUAUAAAAGUGUGCUUAUUUUUCAGGAUGCGGGUUUGUGGUCAUCAGUCAUCAUGAAGAUGGUCUUUAUAUAAUAAUUUUAUGUAACCUUUCAUUUCAUACCUUGGUGGUGUUCCUGCAUCUUGUACUUAGGACUCGUUUGGUAGGUUGUACUAAUUAAAAUAGUCCUUGUAUUAAAAUUUAGUUCAGCCAAUA